AAAUAGAACUUUGCAGAGAGAGUUAACAGGGCGUGAAACCGUUAAUUGGCAAACGAAUCGGAGCCACGAAGUCGUUUCGCUGAUAAGUUGGGCCGAGUUCAGCCUAGGAGAGAUCUUGGGUGUAUUCUCGUAGUCCAACCUGAAAAUCAUUGUAAGCGUACACUGCAACCAGUUAGACGAUUGGCGAUGGGCACAGUUGGCUUUUCGUUCGCGGAAGGUUAACGUAGCAUUUGUCUACUCAGGUUAGUAGUAGCGUGAUGUUGCUUCGGCUUCAUUGUGUUGCUGGGCCUGUGGUAGGUGAGCUAUCACCAAAUACUGACUGGCAAAAUGAAAAUCGUUCCUAUGGAGCGUUGCAUAAAAAGCAGCUUUCAGCAUAUGGGUCUACACUACUGACCAUAGGGUUUAAGCUCAGCAUCUUUGAAUUUGGACUUGCUAGCUGCCAGAGGGCAACUUUUGGCGCUAGUAUAGCUUCCAUCUAAUCGGGUGUUGACUUGAUUCUAUGUUGUUCGGCAGUGCUUCGUUUGGGCAUGUAUGCUAGGGAGUUCGCAAUUGAAUUGGCAGUGAGUAGGUCGGCUUUCCGAACGACCCGUCUUGAAACACGGACCAAGGAGUCUAAUUAGGCAUCAAGUCGAUCGGUCUUGAAUAGGCCAGACUGGUGAGCUUCGGCUUGCCGAUUGAAGGCGUAGAGAAAUCAAAUCAUGUGAUCCUUGGGCCAAUACCAGUCCCUUGGCGCAACAUGUGCCUGUUCGUAUAGCAAUGUUAGCAAUAACUUGCUGGGCGGAGCAAAGAGAUGCCUGAUUGGUACC
rnacentral:rRNA from 1 species